rnacentral:rRNA from 1 species
GACGAACGCUGGCGGCGUGCCUAAUACAUGCAAGUCGAGCGAGCUUGCCUAUUGAAAUUCUUCGGAAUGGACAUAGAUACAAGCUAGCGGCGGAUGGGUGAGUAACGCGUGGGUAACCUGCCCUUAAGUCUGGGAUACCAUUUGGAAACAGAUGCUAAUACCGGAUAAAAGCUACUUUCGCAUGAAAGAAGUUUAAAAGGCGGCGUAAGCUGUCGCUAAAGGAUGGACCUGCGAUGCAUUAGCUAGUUGGUAAGGUAACGGCUUACCAAGGCGAUGAUGCAUAGCCGAGUUGAGAGACUGAUCGGCCACAUUGGGACUGAGACACGGCCCAAACUCCUACGGGAGGCAGCAGUAGGGAAUCUUCCACAAUGGACGCAAGUCUGAUGGAGCAACGCCGCGUGAGUGAAGAAGGUUUUCGGAUCGUAAAGCUCUGUUGUUGGUGAAGAAGGAUAGAGGUAGUAACUGGCCUUUAUUUGACGGUAAUCAACCAGAAAGUCACGGCUAACUACGUGCC